AUGGCGAAGGAGCCCCCCUUCUCCCUGCCCCCGGUGGUCUUCAACCCCUCCACACCGGCCCACCGCCGCCACCCUAUCCCCGGCCCCGGCGCCUCCCCGCCACCUGCCUUCGCGCCUCCCCGCCCCUCCACCUCCUCCGCCGCCAACCCCCUGCCCUUCAUGUCCUUCGACAUACCCGCUCAGUCCAACUCCACGCCGCCCAUCUUCACCGGGCCCAUCGGCGGCUCCAGCGCCUCCUUCGAAGACGAGCCGCCGCUCCUCGAGGAGCUCGGCAUCAACACGCGUCAGAUCUGGCGGAAGACGCUCUCCAUCCUCCACCCGCUCCGCUCCGCCGACCCGUCCCUCCACGCCGACGCCGAUCUCUCCGGCCCCUUCCUGUUCCUCCUAUCCUUCGGCCUCUUCCAGCUCCUGGCUGGGAAGUUCCACUUCGGGAUCGUCCUCGGGUGGGUCACCGUCGCCUCCCUCUUCCUCUACUUCGUCUUUUCCAUGCUCUCGGGCGGACGCCGUGGCGACCUUGACCUCUACAGGUGCGUCAGCCUGGUCGGAUACUGCAUGCUCCCCAUGGUCAUCUUCUCUGCCGUUUCCCUCUUCCUGCCACGGGGCGGUGGGCUCAUCUUCGGGAUGGGCAUGGGAUUCGUGCUGUGGUCUACCAGGGUCUGCACCAGGUUACUAGCAGAGCUUGCUUCCAGCGGCGAUGAGCAUAGGGGACUCAUUGCCUACGCGUGCUGGCUCGUCUACAUGCUCUUCUCUCUGCUCGUCAUCUUUUGA
rnacentral:rRNA from 1 species